rnacentral:rRNA from 1 species
ACGAACUAUUCUGACGAGUAACAGACGGAUAGUUAGUGGCGAAAGGGUGAGUAAUGGAUAGGUAACGUACCCUCGGCUUCGGGAUAGCGUCGUUCGCCUUCGGGCGAACUUCCGAAAGGGGCGGUAAUACCGAACAACAUCACGCGGUGAUGGCCGCGUGAUCAAAGAUUCAUCGGCUGGGGAGCGGCCUAUUUCUUAUCAGCUUGUUGGUAGGGUAAUGGCCUACCAAGGCUAUGACGGGUAGCGGGACUGAGAGGUUGGCCCGCCACAUCGGGACUGAGACACUGCCCGGACCCCCACGGGGGGCUGCAGUAACGAAUCUUGGGCAAUGGGCGAAAGCCUGACCCAGCGACGCCGCGUGCGGGAAGAAGUCUUUCGGGAUGUAAACCGCUGUCAGGGUGAAGAAAGUUCGCUUCGGCGAAUUGAUCUAGCCCAAAGGAAGUCACGGCUAACUUCGUGCCAGCAGCCGCGGUAAGACGAAGGUGGCAAGCGUUGUUCGGUAUCACUGGGCUUAAAG